CGGCGCGCGCCACCCGGCGAGUGCUGCGGCUCAGCGCUGGUCGUGCUAGCGCGCGCUACUGCCACCGGGGUGGCGGGGCCUAGGAGCGAGGGAGAAAAUGACUCUCUUUUGAAUGGGAGAUGCCUGACCCUGGAAGAUACAACCCCAUCCCCAGCAAGGGGAAGUGGGCAGUCUGAAACCAAUGAGAAAAAGACAAGCUGGUGUUUCUGCAUAAAGACAAAGGUGUAAUAGAUGAUUUAUUGUACCUUACUGUGUAGAGUCUUUGGAGAGCUGGGCAAGGACAAGACUUAUCAUACUGCUGGAGAAGGUCAUCAAAAGAUUGUGACAAAUGGUUGGGCUGCAAGCCAGACCAAGAUAAUCAAAGACUCCUCACUUCUUCUUCCGUUCUUAGAAUGUAUGUUCUGACCAUUGUUCUCACAGAAAGCAAGCCAUUUUCAAGAAUGCAGCUCUGAUAGAGUAAGAUGUUGAGACCACCUAGACUGAAUAUGUGCCUGAACUUCAGGCUGCUAUGUAAACUUUUAAGAAUCUGGUGGUCGGGUGCUUGGAUAUAUUCAUUUUAUGCCCACCAAAAACAAGCCUUGUAAGUUUGUUCCCUUGUUUAUUAAGCCUGCUGUCGACCAAUCUGGAUUGGUCUGCCUCUUUCUUUGGUCUGCCUUACGCUCUUGAGUAUGAAGGCCAGGUUCAGCUUUCACCUGGGGAAUCCCCAAGUUUGCAAACUAAUAUAUAUAUAUAUGGCCCUACUGUCACCCAGAUUCUAUUCUUUUAAGAACUUUGGUAACAAACAGCCAUAAAUUUAUGAAAAUAAUUAUCACCAGGUCACAGAGGAGACUAUAUAGUCAUGGUUUUAGUAAAUUUUAUAAUAAUCCUUAUUGUGCAAGACACUAAAGGGGUAUAAGUUAACCAUGUUACAAACUAUGGACUACUUAUUUCACAAAUGACAGCUGCUCCAGAAUUCAACAAUACAUUUUUAAGCACAGUGUAAUUUGUAAAAAUAUGAUGACCUAGUUAUACAGGCUAUCUUGUGUAACCAAAUCUGUUUGGAAAUAAAUUAGAUUUCUCUGUAAUUAUUUAGUUAGGUCAGACCAAUGAAUUGGAAAUGCAUUAAAAUGAAUGAAAUGCUGGUACAUACAACAUGGAUGAAUCUAAAUGUGCUAAGAAAACUGACACAGGAGUUAUUACUUUUUGGAUUUAUCAAUAUGAAUUUCAAAACUAGAAAAAAUAGUGGUGGAAAAUAUCAUAAUAUUAGCUAAUUUGAUAUGUAGAAAGGAUUAACUGGGAAGGGGAAUGAGGGUAGUUUUGGAGAUGUGAUAAGAAUAUUCUUCACAUUUAAAAAGUUCUCUAUGUAAAUUUAACAUAAAAGACUAUAAAAUAUAUUGAACUAUAGUUUAUUUGCAUGUUGAAUUACUUAGGCAAAAAUGUAUGGGUGUCUACAAUUUACUUUGAAAUGCAUCAAACAGUAAGAUGGAUUGAUGGAUGGACAGAAGAAGCUUGGAUAGGCGGACACAUAAUACAGCAGGUACAGUAAGCUGUUAAUGGUGGCACUAGGUGGUGAAUGCUUGUGAGAACACUGAAUGUUCUUUCAAUUUCUCUUAAGUUUGAAAAAUUUUAUAAUAAACUUAACAGAGUAUUAUCAUUUCCUACUUUCAUACUUCUUCCAGUUCAUAUCAGGAUUACUUUUCUAUCUCCUAACUAGUCUCCUGCUCAUCUACCUGCACUGACUACAGUGUAUUCUCAGCACAGCCAACCAGAGCAAUAAACAAAACUAAUUAUUCCUCGAAACACUGUGAAACCAUUCCCAUUACACUCAGACUGAAAUUCUAGGUCCUCUGAUUUACUAUGCCCCAUAAGAUGUGGCUACCAUGUGGCCCACUCAUUACCACUCUGACUACUCUUUCCACUAAACUUCUCCUUCGGGAAUAUCUCUCUGGUCAUAUUCACCUUCUUGCUU